AUUGAACGCUGGCGGCAGGCUUAACACAUGCAAGUCGAGCGAGCGGCGGACGGGUGAGUAAUGUCUGGUAAACUGCCUGAUGGAGGGGGAUAACUACUGGAAACGGUAGCUCAUACCGCAUACCAUCAGAUGUGCCCAUAUGGGAUUAGCUAGUAGGUGGGGUAAUGGCUCACCGAGGCGACGAUCCCUAGCUGGUCGGAGAGGAUGACCAGCCACACUGGAACUGAGAGACGGCCCAGACUCCUACGGGAGGAAGCAGUGGGGAAUAUUGCACAAUGGGCGCAAGCCUGAUGCAGCCAUGCCGCGUGUAUGAAGAAGGCCUUAGGGUUGUAAAGUACUUUCAGCGGGGAGGCGUUACCCGCAGAAGAAGCACCGGCUAACUCAGUGCCAGCAGCCGGGGUAAUUC
rnacentral:rRNA from 1 species